UGUCUUUUAUUAAAGUUUAUUGCCAAAGCCACAAAAUCUAUAUUCCUGUAUAUUCGCUAAUUAACCACAGCCUCAUGACGAAAUACCGCGUAAAUUCGAAUUGGCUCCUAAGCAUUCGAACGUGUUAAGAACAAAAGCGAAGUGAGCAAACAUUGAACGCUUUGUACAAAUGUCUUUUUUGAAAGGCAUUCAAAUGGUGCGAUUGAUUUCAAGCGAGUUUUGCGGUGAUUAAUUGCAGGGGUCACACAUACUGAUUGCGGAUCAAAAAAUAGCUACAUUCCCAAUUGAAGUGGGCAAAUAUUUAUUUAUCUUAUCGCCGCACGGAAUGAGAAAGAUUGGCACGGACAUAUGAUCAAGCCCUCUGCUAGCAGUAGCCGAUUUUCCAAAAAUUAAUUGAAAAUCAUUUAAAAUAUAAAUUAUACCAAGAAAAAGUAUAAUAAUGAAUCAAAAAUGAAAGAGGAUAUUCUCCUAAUUUGUACGAUACUUGCGUUAUUGGAAUUUUCGGAAAAAAUUGGAAAAGGAGUUACCAUUACAUCUUUAGCAAAAUUAUAUGGCGUGACUAAACCAACAAAGUCGGGAAUAAACAAUGGGAAUCGUAACAUAAUCUCUCACCAGGCAGAUGGAACAAGAGAAAUACUCUUCGAACAGGCGACUAUCCCCAAAUAGAGAAAGCAUUAUACAACGGGCUUGUGGCGCAACGCAAAAGCAAAAAAAAAACUGACCAGUCAGAGGGGAAACACUGAAGAAAAAACGAAAAAGUUGCUCACUAAUAUUAAUGGCACAGAAAGUGAUUUUCUUGCCACCUCCGGUUGGCUAUCUGGGUUUAAAUCUUGUUUUGGAGUUCGGCAAUUAAAAGUGUUCGGCGGAAGAUUGUCAUCCGAUACCCAAGCAGUUGAGCCCUGUAAGCAUAAAUUCAGCAAUAUUAUGUAUGAAUUGAAGCUUUGCCAUGACUAAAUUUACAACGCAAACGAAACAGGUUUGUUCUGAAAGAUGUUGCCUGAAAGAACUUAUGUCGGCCAAACUCCGGGGAGAAGAGAAGAAAAGGCCAGAAUAACUGUUCCUGCCUGCAUUAAUACAAACGGUUAGCAGCCUUGCGAAGAAACUGCGCUCUUUUAAGUCAUAUGACCGGUAGAGUGCAUGGAUGAUCGUCGAUAUUUUAAUAGAAUGGUACCACCAUUGUUUCGUCCCUCUGGUUUUGAAAAGUUUUUCCACGCUUUGGCUAUGAGUUCUUAAAAGGGACCUAACCUACAGAGUGGUGCGCUUGUUUUUAGGACGAUCGAAAAAUCCAACAGACCGGUUGCCGGUUUACCAUGAACACGAGACCGAUCGGGGAAGUUAGCGGUUACAAUUGGGUCUCACACUAAGCAGCUAUAGAUAUGCUCAUCAGCUGCUAUAAAACUACUUAAUUAUUUUAAACUCUUAGCAAG